rnacentral:rRNA from 1 species
UACGUAGGUGGCAAGCGUUGUCCGGAUUUACUGGGCGUAAAGAGCGCGCAGGCGGUCGUUCAAGUCGCGUGUGAAAGCCCCCGGCUCAACUGGGGAGGGUCACGCGAUACUGAUCGACUCGAAGGCAGGAGAGGGUAGUGGAAUUCCCGGUGUAGUGGUGAAAUGCGUAGAUAUCUGGAGGAACACCGGUGGCGAAGGCGGCAUCCUGGACCAAUAUUGACGCUGAGGAGCGAAAGCCAGGGGAGCAAACGGG